GAUUCUGUCGCGAACCCUCUCACGGCAGCUAUGAGACUGCUGCGCUCCCCAGACGAGGAAACCUGGUCUCCCGGAGCCAGGUGGAGUCUCGCUCUGUCGCCCAGGCUGGAGUGCGGUGGCGCGAUCUCGGCUCACUGCAAGCUCCGCCUCCCGGGUUCACGCCAUUCUCCUGCCUCAGCCUCCCGAGUAGCUGGGACUACAGAGUCUUGCUCUGUCGCCCAGGCUGGAGUGCAGUGGCGCGAUCUCGGCUCACUACAACCUCUGCCUCCCAGGUUCAAGUGAUUCUCCUGCCUCAGCCUCCUGAGUAGCUGGGAUUACAGCUCUGGGACAAACCAGCUUCUAUGUCAUGAGCACACUCAGGCAGCUCAUUGGAGAGAUCUGCAUGGUAAAGCAAUGAGGCCUCCUGCCAGCAGCCAUGUGAGUGGCAUCUUGGAGCCAGACCCUCCAGCCCCAGUCAAGCCUUCGGAUGCCUGCAGCCCUGGCUGACAUUUUAACCACAACUUCAUGAGAGAUUCUGAGCCAGAAUCACCCAGCUAAGCUGCUCCCGGGUUGCCAGAUCAAUCCACAGUUCUCCAGGGACCCAUUGUGGUUUUGUGCUUCCUCUGUGCCUGUUCUGCUCCUCUCCAUGCACCCCAGCCCCUCCCAGUCCCCUCAACGGUCCUUCUGGCCAGGCCCAUAGCCCCCUCUCUGCCCCACAGUCCUCAGGCUCCAGCUUUCUCGUUAGGAAGUGUUAGAAAGUUGCUGGAGUGAGAAAUGAGCCUGUGAAACUCGUUGUCCUAAUUAAACUUCCACAAGGAGAGUGACAAGAGGCGACGGGGAGGAAACGGUGCCACCACCAAGGUCUCAGCCUGGGCCCAGGUCGAGGAAGGCCUUUGUCCUGCAGAACAAAAGCCACUGUUUGCACGUGUUAAACUUCAUCAAACUUCAACAGACCCAGGUGCAAAACCCCACAUCCCAAAUGCCAUCCGGGCUUAUGCCACCUUCCCGAGCAUGGACCGUCCCUAGCCGUCAACCCUAAUCAGGGCCAUGCCCUACAUCAAAGCUGCACUCCCUCCACAGACAGCUUCUGCUCUGAGAUGCAUUGUUCCUAUGACUUCCUACACUCCGCCCUUGUCUGACGAAUUAGGGCACGGAGCCCCCCCAUGGCACAGCUGGGCCCUGCUGGCAUUGUUAAUGAGGUAGGAAGGGCGCGUUUGUCUGAGCCUGGGACUAACAUAAUCACAUAAAGUUGUUGCUUUGGAAUAGAUGGAGCUGCCCCAGAGUCGAUUUUCUUGGAAGCAACGCAAAGCACAGCUUCCUGGGAGAAGACACAAUGCCUCCUAUUGUCUCUGCCACUUCCCCUCCAGCCUCCCAGCAUUUCUGCGUCUCCUCGGGAGCCACUGCCCUGUGCAAGAGCUGUUUGCUGAUGCCCAGCCGCGGCUUCCAAAACUCCCGCGAGAAGUCGUUUCUGUCCACAGUCAUUGUUUCCAGACCAGCCGAGCCAACUGGGGAGGAGAGGCCAAGCCCAGGGAGAGCAGUAAGAGGCCCAGCUUGCAACACAGGCCCCCGGCGGCUGGAGUCGGCUCAUGGGUUGCUGGGGGGCAGCUGGUGCCAGCCCUGCUAGACAUGUCCAGGGUCGGGGCAGAGGCCAGGGUGGCUCUCAUCCACAACGAGGCUCCAGGAAGAGGCUCCAGAGGGCCCAGGUCCCUGGAGGAAGACAGAGGGUGGAUUAUCCAGUGAGUCCUCAGAUUGCUCCAGGGAGACUCUACCCCUAGGCCCUCAUCCUACCUAGGACUGAGGCAGCCAUCUGGGUCUCUGCUUCCCUAACCACUUCCUCCUCCACCCGACCAUCACCUAGUCUCAAGGACUUGGGCAGCUUCUGGAAGUGGCUGAGACUGGAAGAAUGUUGUCACACCUACCAGAUAUCCCUACGUGUAUCUCUACCACCCCCACUACAUAUUCUGAAGAACCAAGGUGAGCUGGGGGAAUCCCCAGGCCAGCAGGGCAAGGCCUGGGCAGGAAUGGAGUGAGGAAGUGAGAAGUGGGGAUCUUGGGGGUGGGCGGGCUGUGGGGCUGGGCUGUGCUGCACACUGGGCAGGAGGCAGGAGAUGGCAAUGGAAGCGACAGCUCCCCAUCUUCCCCGGCUGCAUACGUGAGGGAUUCUGCUGCAUUCACUGAGUCACCAAAGGACACUGGAAGGCCAUCAGGAUUUUUGGGUGACCAAGACAUGGCUCCCCUCUUACUGCCUGUGGGGAGACAGGCAUGUGAACACCCAAGUCUAACCCAAGCUGAGUUGACUGAGGGCCAUUUAAAGAUUCCACAGAGGCUGAGAGCAGUGGCUCAUGCCUGUAAUCCCAGCACUUUGGGAGGCCAAGGCAGGUGGAUCACUUGAGGUCAGGAGCUCGAGACCAGCCUGGCCAACAUGGUGAAACCCCGUCUCUACUAAAAAUACAAAAAUUAGCCAGGCAUGGUGGUGCACACCAGUAGUCCCAGCUACUCAGGAGGCUGAGGCAGGAGAAUCGCUGGAACCCAGGAGGCAAAGGUUGCAGUGAGCCACGAUCACACCACAGUACUCCAGCCUAGGUGACAGAGCGAGACUCCGUCUCGAAAAUAAACAAAUAAAGAAAGGUUCCAAGGAUGGUCUGGAGGACAAACAAAGGAGGAGAUUUGGUGCAGGAGUUAGGACAAAGACUCCUGGGACAGCAGCCCUCACUUGGGGCCAUAGUGAAUGAAUGGGGGCCUUUUGCAGAAGGGAAAUGGAGGACAUGUGUGGUGAAGGCUUUGCUGAAGCAUCUCUUAUAAAAGGGGCAAAAGCACUUGCUCUCCUCCCAGCUCUGGCUCAGCCUCUCUCUCUUCAAGUCCCUGGCAUCCCUGGAAAACCAUGAUUUUUCCAUUCUGCAGCCAGCCCAGGCACCUCCUCCCACCCCCGCACACUGCAGUCUGGUGUGUGUGGUGGGCACACAUAGAACACUUGCUGGUCUUGAAAAUGAAGCCAUCUUUUGGGGCCCCUAGAAAUCAAAGAGACCCACUUAGCCAAGAUAUCACUCUUGGACACCAGCAAGGGUGAGAUCACUUGAUAGGUAUUUUGCCGUGUGUUUCUUUUUAACUAUAUAAAAAACAAAAGGGUGGAUGUGCAAACCCAACCCAAGAAUACCUUGGCUCAGGCUCAACUAGAUGAAACUUUUAAAAAUGAUUUAAUGUUAUGUUAGACUGUUGCAUAUUAAAGCGAUGUAAUGCCUUCUAAGAAACGAGAGUCAGAUCCUGAAAGCGAUGACUUGGGUAAAUGUAAGGAGUUAUAACUCACUUUUCAAGAGAGCAACUAUAAACAUUUUGCCCAAUAUGUACAGACCUCUAAUGACAGUGUGCAAAGACUCUUUCGUUCCCAGAUUAUGAGGCUGCCACUUUCUCCUCCCCUUCCUGAGCCGCACUUUUCUAAACAGCAACUGUCGGGGCAGGGGGAUGGGAAGCUCAUGAGAGAAGGAAAUAUUUGGGACCGUGUCGGCCAGUGGAAUGGGGCUUGUGGUCACCGUGUUACAGAGUCAAAUCACUUCCCAGUAAACACCAGUUUCCGAUGGCUCUCUGGCCAGGGUUGGCCGGGGACAAGCAGGGAGUAUAUGUGUCGGGUACGUUGCGUCACAAGCUGUGCAGCUGUGUAGGCCUCUCUGUCCAGAGGCAUUAAUGGAAAAUGAUUGGGCACCCAGCCCACAGCAGAUGCGCUGAGGAAUCCAGCCAGGGGGAGCUGGGAUGCAGUGGGAGAGGGGACACGCAGGGCCUGGCUGAGAAGCCUCGCGAGGUAACCACAGGCGGAAAUCUGAAAAAUGAAGACGUUCCCACCAGUUCCAGAAAACAGGGCUAACUUAAAAUGCAGCCCCUUUCCUUGAAGUGGGCUUGGCAGGCCCCAGGUGUUGAAAGGCAAAAGAAAAAAAAG
rnacentral:lncRNA from 1 species